UACGUAGGGGGCAAGCGUUGUCCGGAAUCAUUGGGCGUAAAGCGCGCGUAGGCGGCCCGGUAAGUCCGCUGUAAAAGUCCAGGGCUCAACCCUGGAAAGCCGGUGGAUACUGUCGGGCUAGAGUCCGGAAGAGGCGAGUGGAAUUCCUGGUGUAGCGGUGGAAUGCGUAGAGAUCCGGAAGAACACCGGAGGCGAAGGCGGCUUGCUGGGCUUGGUCUGACGCUGAGGCGCGAAAGCGUGGGGAGCGAACAGG
rnacentral:rRNA from 1 species